GGCCCAUAAGGAUGAAGGAUGCAAGACAAGGUGAGCAGCCAACUUGGAAAGGCAUUGUUGAUGCCUAUAAAAUAAGGAGAUAAAAGUUAGUCCUCGAGAUUUAGGUAGACAAAUUGAAUCCCAAGAGAUGUAGUGUAGACGAUGUUGAGUUAUUGUAUGGCCCAUAAAAAAGCACGAAACUCUCUUUCCAAGUUGAUAAGGAUGGCAAGAGGCACAUGAACAGUAGAUAAAGCAUAGAGGGGCA
rnacentral:lncRNA from 1 species